rnacentral:lncRNA from 1 species
ACCCACGGCGUUCCGACGCAAAGUGCAGUAUAUCCUCUGGACGCGGAGGGGAUCAAGAUAUGGGGGCACAGGGGUGUGAGCGGCGUGAAGCACCCAACGUCCUGACCUGCUCUGCCUGUCUCUCGCCUCCUCAUCGGGAGCCAAUGGCAACGCGUUUUCCAGCAGGUAAGAUCCAGAUUCGUCGAGUGUAGGAAGACAUUACUUUACCGUGAAUGAAAGAAGCGCGCUGAGGCCCCUGAAAAUAUCGGUAUCUGCAGCAGUCGUGGCGAUACCUGCCUACUUAUGUUCGAGUGUCAAGGUGACACGGGCGCCCUCAAUGGCUCCCCUGAGCCUGAGGUAUUCAGUUCAGUGGAACGAUGCAUAAAGCGUUUCUUAUACCUAUAGACAUCGUCUCACCUCGCAUAAUUAUAACUUGUGGUUGUAACCUAUCAGCGAUCUAGAUGUAUAUGCGACAUAUGUAUAGGUACAUACAUAACUGUAAGACUCCGCGGAGUUGUCAUGUAAAUUCAAGGACAGGGUUUGUAGUUGGGACAGAUUCAUCUCGAUGAACAUCAUAAAAGCAGGAUGAAUCGGCACAAAUCUGUCCGUUAUCGGUCAUUAUUUGGCUAUUGAUUUGAUUGUUAGAAAAAGCAUGUUGAAGGAUAUCGGG